rnacentral:tRNA from 1 species
GCCGAAGUGGUGGAACUGGUAGACACGCCAUCUUGAGGGGGUGGUGGGCAACCGCCCGUGCGAGUUCGAGUCUCGCCUUCGGCACCA